GGAGAAGAUUAUAAACAGAUCCACAACAUGACAAACCAGAGGUCGUCAUUUAAUUUGGAUACCAGCAUCACCUUUCCAAGAUAUAUGGGCCUGGGUCUUUUGAAACCCUCAUAAGAACUAUCUUGGGAUGCUGGUUGCCCUGGAAAGAGCAUGUCACUGUGGAAGAGGCAGCUUCCUUUGGCUGCAGGAAAUUCCUGAAGAGGACUGGGCUGUGAGUUGUCAGAUGAUCCCUCUCAAAGAACAAGGCUCAUCUCUAUACAAAUGGAAAUCUCAGGAAAACAUUUUACACAGCUCUUCACAUUCUACAAGCUGUGAGAACUGAAAGCAGAGCCCUCAUCUGAAAACUGGGGAUUAAGAAGGAUAUUUAGAAGACAGCCAACAACUUUCACUUCAUUUUCAACGGACAGAUCAUGGACUUAAUGGCCCA